GAAGCAGGCCAGACAGCCGCUGGCCGGCGCGUAAUGCGUCGGCGGGAGGAAGGUCCGGACUCCAUAGAGCAGGGUGACGGUUAACGGCCGUCCGCUGAAAGCCGCAAGGUAUAAGGCGAGGAAUAGGGCCACAGAGACGAGCGUAUUAAGUUACGGUGAAACGCGGUAACCUCCACCUGGAGCAAUUCCAAAUAGGCACGCGUUGAGGUGGCUCGCGGAGCGUGCGGGUAGGAAGCUUGAGCGCCGGAGUAAUUCGGCGCCUAGAGGAAUGGCUGUCAUAGCAGACGUCCGCAAGGGCGAAUGCCGUAACAAAAUCCGGCCUAUCGGCCUGCUUCACUU
rnacentral:RNase_P_RNA from 1 species